rnacentral:lncRNA from 1 species
UGCUGGGAAAUCUUUGCCUUUAAUGGGAGGCAGGAUGGGGGUGGGGGAAGAACGAGGCGGCAUGUGGUAACCAGACGUCACAGCGUUUCACUUUUCACCAUCAACUUCCAGGACGCACGCAGGUGUGUCUGGCGUGGCCUUCGUCCCUGCCGGCGAUCCUGGGGAGCUGUGGCUCAGACCUCUGGUUUCUGCGCCUCCUCACUCUCCAAACCCAACCUCGAGGUUCCCCCGCCGCUGCGCACCCUGGGAAGCCCCUUCCCACCAGGAGCUCUCACCCCAAUAUCAUUCUCUCCCUCCUCCUCCAACUCCUCCGAGCCCAGGUCCGACAUGGUCUCGCCCCAGCCUGGAUCACAGCCGCAGCACCUCUAGCAGGUGGGUAGCAACCGCCUCCACCGCCGCGUCCAGCGUCGCCAUGGAGACGCGGCCGGUCCCGCCUCCCUCCCAGCCCGGAAGAUGGGGAGCGGGGACAGGCGACGCGGACGAAGCGGGAGGAGCCACUGGCAGCCUUUGCGUACUGUCAUAGCAACGGGAAGGGCACCUCGACCAAUCACCGCCCGGGAAUACGGAGGGGCGGGGCGGAAGGGACGAGGUGGAGCCAGUGGCAGCACUCGGGUGCCGUCAUAGCAACGAGGGGCCGCCUCGGCCAAUCACUGCUCGGGAAGGGAGGGGGCGGGGACUGGGCAGGGCCUGAGCGGGUUCUGUGCCUGGCUGCCCACCGGCUCUCUGACCUGGACCUCGCCGUCGCUGGCCCCUGAAAUCCAUCACUUUAGUCGGCUAUUCUGUGACGCCACAACGAGGCGUACCCAGCUCUGCUGACCCUUCGGGAUUCGCGGCUAGCUGUGAUGUGUCCGCCAAGAUCUCUUCUCUUGUCUGUAAACAACUUCACUCUCGAGGCAGCUCUGGCCUCUCAGCAGAGCUGGGGAGGAGUGACUGAAUAACUAUAGGAUUCGGUCUUGAUGGGAGAAUCCCAGAAGCCAAAUCCACGCGGUGAAUAAGCUGCUGAUCUUCCAGAGCACACAUCCCCUAGAGAUUCUUCCCAAUGCUAAUAUGAAAGGUUACAACCAUAACCCAUCAUCAGGCCCAAAUAUAUUACUUACUGAAUAAAUACACAAGUUACAACAACACACAAGAUUCCAAAAUUAUGUCGUUUUUUAGAUGCAAAGAUAAAAAUGUUGUAAACACCAAAAU